rnacentral:rRNA from 1 species
UACGUAGGGGGCAAGCGUUGUCCGGAAUCAUUGGGCGUAAAGCGCGCGUAGGCGGCCCGGUAAGUCCGCUGUGAAAGUCAAAGGCUCAACCUUUGAAUGCCGGUGGAUACUGCCGGGCUAGAGUCCGGAAGAGGCGAGUGGAAUUCCUGGUGUAGCGGUGAAAUGCGCAGAUAUCAGGUGGAACACCUAUUGCGAAGGCAGCUCGCUGGGACGUAACUGACGCUGAGACGCGAAAGCGUGGGGAGCAAACAGG